rnacentral:rRNA from 1 species
AUGGUUCCUGGAUCACUUGUACAGAUCAUCUUCAUCCUCAUCAGCUGCCGCGGUGGUGUCAGCAGCAGCUUCUGCCGCCUGUGGCUGCGCCGGGAAGCGGAACUCCAUGCCGAACCCCCUAGACUGCUGCAGCGUCUGCGCGAAGGCCUGGUACUUCCUGAUGUCGGCAUCGCUCACGCUCCUCCUCGCGUACUUCAUCGACUCCUCGAAGUGAGCCGCCUUAAUCUCUGCCAUCUCCUCAUCUUUCUGGCCGCCGUCCACAUCCAUGGUGUCUUUCCCCAUCCUCUGCCUCUCCAUGUCCUUUUCAAUGUCCUCCCUAAUGGCGUACUUGCACGCUCUCUGGCAGAUCUCCGUGAUGUCGGCACCGCUGAAGCUGGCGGUGAACCUUGCCAGCGCGCCGAGGUCAACGUCCUUGGCCACGGGAGACUUCCUGAGGCAGGCCUUGAAGAUCUGGUGCCGCGAGGCCUCAUCUGGCAAGGGGAUGUAGAUGAGCUGGUCCAGGCGGCCAGGACGGAGCAACGCCGAGUCAAUUAUGUCCGGCCUAUUUGUGGCGCCGAUGAUGAAGACCGUCUUCUUGGCGUUCAUGCCGUCAAUCUCGGUGAGAAGCUGGUUCAAGACCCUGUCCGCCGCGCCGCCGGCGUCGCCCAUCCUGCCGCCCCUCUGGGUUGCGAUGGAGUCGAGCUCGUCAAAGAACAGGACGCACGGCGCAGACUGACGCGCCUUGUCGAAGAUCUCGCGCACGUUGGCCUCGCUCUCGCCGAACCACAUGGUGAGAAGCUCUGGCCCCUUGAUGCUGAUGAAGUUGGCCUGGCACUCGUUGGCGAUCGCCUUCGCCAGCAAGGUCUUGCCGCAUCCUGGUGGCCCGUAAAAGAGGACGCCCUUGGACGGCGACAUGCCAAACUUCUCGAAUUUCUCCGGGUGCUCGACCGGGUACUGGACGGUCUCUUGCAGCUCCCUCUUGACGCCGUCGAGGCCGCCAAUAUCGGUCCAGCUGACGUUGGGCACCUCCACGACGGUUUCACGAAGCGCAGACGGGUUCGUGCCGACGAGAGCCGUUUUAAGGUGGUCAUUGGUGACGGCCAUGGAGUUCAAGAUCUCGGCAUCAAUGGUGUCGUCCUCUAA